GACAGAGGGUGCAACCGUUGCUCGGAAUCACUGGGCGUAAAGGGCGUGUAGGCGGGAAUGUAAGUCGGGCGUGAAAUCCCUAGGCUCAACCUAGGAACUGCACUCGAAACUGCGUUUCUUGAGUGCCGGAGAGGAAAGCGGAAUUCCUGGUGUAGAGGUGAAAUUCGUAGAUAUCCGGAGGAACACCGGUGGCGAAGGCGGCUUCCUGGACCGACACUGACGCUGAGGCGCGAAAGCUAGGGGAGCAAACGGG
rnacentral:rRNA from 1 species